rnacentral:lncRNA from 1 species
GGGUAAGGAUGGAGUUGGGCCUAAUAACUGUUAGGUGAGGGACCCAAUGACGACCUUGCACCUGCUUGUGAAUGGUGGGUCAGGCUUAACUAAGGAGUGUGGUCAAUAACUGUUAGGUGAGCCCACAUGACUUAGAGAUCAAGUCACUACAAUAUGCUUAGAGAAGCAUCUGGGUAAAGAGUUAUCCAUGCAUCGAUGUGCAUGUUAUCAAUAAC